UUCAACAUCGUUAGAAACAUGAGAGACCGACAUGUGGUAAUACGUGAAUAGUCUUGACCAUUUAUGUGGGGUUUGGAUACCCUAUAUAAUUAAAAAAAGAUGACCUUUCUAAGCUUAUCUUAUCUCAAAUUAUGAAUCUAUUUUCAAAUGAUUCUCUUUAGGAAUAAUAACUGUAGUAAUAAGUUAUCAAAAGAAGAAGUCAUCAACAACACUAUACAAAAACCCCACAAAAAAAAAACAUAAUAUAGUGUUGUUUAUAAACUAAAAAAAAAAAAAAUUCUCAUAUUCCCUUUUUGCAUCAUGUAAAGUUUUUACAUGUAAUUCAUCUUUUGGUUCAAAGUUAGGAAAGGGGACCGAAAGCUCACAUGUGUGUACAUUUUGUUAGGCCCUGUCAAAACCCCAUGAAAGUUCAGAAAAUUAACUUAAAAUCAAAAAAGUCAUUAUGAAGCCCAAAACGGAGAGUAGAUUUUGGAUCAAGACUUUAAUAAAGGCCCAACAUAAGCCCAUUGGACUCCAAAAGAAGGCCAUUGUCUAUAUUUACAUAUCAUCUCCCAACGCCGGCGAUUAUUACCACCGUCAACCUCGCCGCCGGCCAGAGAGAAAAAUGGCGGCGUAUCACCAACCGUACUACGUCUACAAUCCUCAUCCUCUUCCGCAACUCGCCGACGAACCUGGGGCGAUCAACACACUCUUCGUCUCCGGCUUGCCUGACGACGUCAAGGCUCGUGAGAUCCACAACCUCUUCCGCCGUCGUCCCGGAUUCGAGUCUUCACAGCUCAAGUACACCGGACGCGGCGACCAGGUUGUUGCGUUUGCAACGUUCUCGAGUCAUGGGUUCGCUAUGGCUGCAAUGAAUGAGCUAAAUGGUGUGAAGUUUGAUCCUCAGACAGGAUCGACUCUGCAUAUAGAAGUAGCUAGAUCAAACUCUAGAAGGAAAGAAAGGCCAGGAAGUGGGCCUUAUGUGGUAAUUGAUAACAGAAACAAGGAACCAUCUAAAUCUCAGGACGGCCAGAGUGGUGAAGGGGAAAGCGAUCCUGAUGAGGCGGAGGAACCGGGGAAUAGCAAUUCUCCAAAGGGAAACGAUAGUACCAAAAGGUUUGAAAACGAAGUGGACUCUGAUCAAGAUAGUAAAGCACCACCUACUAGUGGGCAUUUGGAAAAAGCAUUUGAAGGAGGUUCUGGUGCUCGACCAUGUUCCACCUUGUUUAUAGCCAAUCUAGGGCCUAAUUGUACAGAAGAUGAACUCAAACAACUCCUGUCUAGGUAUCCUGGUUUCAAUAUUCUGAAAAUCCGAGCAAGAGGCGGAAUGCCAGUUGCAUUUGCUGAUUUUGAGGAAAUUGAACAAGCGACUUAUGUCAUGAAUGAUCUUCAAGGCAACCUCCUAUCGUCUUCAGACCGAGGCGGCAUGCAUAUAGAAUAUGCAAGAUCCAAGAUGAGGAAACAGUAGAAGAUUCUCAUAAACAGUAAGCCUAGCUUCCGAGAACAUGAUUGAGGGAUCAUAAGCAAAGGAACAUGUGUUUCUUAUUUUUAAAGUCACCACUAGUUUAAUUGUUGUCAUGAAGAUGGGUCAUUCUAUGCUGACACUUCGAAAUAUGUAUGAUCUUGGAUAGAGUGAAUCAAGUUCUUGGUCUUGUCAUGGUCCCCUGAAGGUCAAUUAAUCACUGCCCCCACCCAUGUCCUCUCCAGUUUUGGGCUUUUCUUUGUGUGUGUAUAUAUAGCAUCUUAUCUUUGUUCAAUUGAGAAAUAAAUGUUGAUUGGUGAUGCGGAUAGGCAGAAAAGAUACCCCAAGGCAAGGACCCAAUGCAUCACUGUAUUGGCAGGCAACUCAGUUUUUCAUGCAUCAUUAUUACAUUGGCAAAGACUUGCACUGUCGUGCUUGUAAGGAAAGCCUUCAGUGUUUUGUUUUCU